rnacentral:rRNA from 1 species
GACGAACGCUGGCGGCGUGCUUAACACAUGCAAGUCGAACGGUAAGGCCUUCGGGUACGACGAGUGGCGAACGGGUGGAGUAACACGUGGUGAUCUGCCCUGCACUUCGGGAUAAGCCUGGGAAACUGGGUCUAAUACCGGAUAGGACUCCUGGCUUCAUGGUUGGGGGUGUAAAGCUUUUGCGGUGUGGGAUGGGCCCGCGGCCUAUCAGCUUGUUGGUGGGGUAAUGGCCUACCCAAGGCGACGACGGGUAGCCGGCCUGAGAGGGUGACCGGCCACACUGGGACUGAGAUACGGCCCAGACUCCUACGGGAGGCAGCAGUGGGGAAUAUUGCACAAUGGGCGCAAGCCUGAUGCAGCGACGCCGCGUGAGGGAUGACGGCCUUCGGUGU